GACGAACGCUGGCGGCGUGCUUAACACAUGCAAGUCGAACGAUGAAGCCCAGCUUGCUGGGUGGAUUAGUGGCGAACGGGUGAGUAACACGUGGGCAACCUGCCCCAAACUCUGGGAUAACUCCUCGAAAGAGGUACUAAUACCGGAUACGAACUAGGUAGACAUCUGCACUAGUUGGAAAGUUUUUCGGUUUGGGAUGGGCCCGCGGCCUAUCAGCUUGUUGGUGAGGUAACGGCUCACCAAGGCUACGACGGGUAACCGGCCUGAGAGGGCGACCGGUAACACUGGGGCUGAGACACGGCCCAGACUCCUACGGGAGGCAGCAGUGGGGAAUAUUGCGCAAUGGGCGAAAGCCCGACGCAGCGACGCCGCGUGAGGGAUGAAGGUCUUCGGAUCGUAAACCUCUUUCAGUAGGGACGAAGCGAAAGUGACGGUACCUAAAGAAGAAGCACCGGCUAACUACGUGCCAGCCGCCGCGGUAA
rnacentral:rRNA from 1 species